rnacentral:rRNA from 1 species
AUUGAACGCUGGCGGCAGGCUUAACACAUGCAAGUCGAACGAGUGGCGGAGGGGUGAGUAAUGUUUGGGACUCUAGCAUAUGGAUGGGGAUAACUACGGGAAACUGUAGCAAAUACCGCGUACCAUAGGAUGAGCCCAGGUGGGAUUAGGUAUUUGGUGAGGUAAAGGCUCACCAAGCCGACGAUCUCUAGCUGGUCUUAGAGGAUGACCAGCCAAACGGGAACUGAGACACGGCCCAGGCUCCUACGGGAGGCAGCAGUGGGGAAUAUUGCGCAAUGGGUGAAGCCUGACGCAGCCAUGCCGCGUGAGUGAAGAAGGCCUUCGGGUUGUAAAAUUCUUUCGGUAGCGAGGCGUUAGCUACAGAAGAAGCACCGGCUAACUCCGUGCCAGCAGCCGCGGUAAUAC